UGUGAGUGAUGACCCACUUUUUCCUGACCUUCCUGAGGGCAAAAACUGAUUUAAUGAGCCUGACAC